AUAGGAAAGGUUGGAUAAUCUAUCUAUUAGUGCUCUUAUAGUAGGCAAAACUUGAAUAAUUGACAGAUAUUGGGACUUAAAGUUAAACUAAAAUGUAGGAUUAGCAAUACAAUUUGAAAGGGAUUUAAUCACGAAAGAGGGCUAGAAUAGAAAGAAAAGAACAAGGGUUCUAAAGGCAGCAGCUUAGAACAGAUCUUUGUUUACG
rnacentral:misc_RNA from 1 species